UCUUAUGGCCGGCCAAGCAAGGGAACAAAGAGAAAAAGAGAAGAACAAACCCUAGGAAGGAAAAAUUCAAGAGAAAUUGUUGGAUUUUAAGGAAUCAAGCAAGUAAAGGUAAGAUUUUCAAUUUUAGCUUAAGAUUUACCUUACCCAUGCUUUCUUUUUCAUUUUCUAUGGAUGAAACACAAGUUUCCAUGAAGGAUUGCAUGCUGGCUGAACUUAGAGAGAGAGAUUUUGAUGGUGGAUUUUGCUAGAUUUCAUGAUAUCUUAGUGUUUUUAGUUGUUUGAUGAUGUUUGACAUGAAAAACAAGCAAGAAAAUCACAUGCCCUUCAACAACCCAUUUUGGCCGAAUUUUAUGGUGACAUAUUGAUGAUGGAUUUUGUUGUAUUUCAAGUUAUUUAGCUAGUAAUUGAUGAUUUAUGGUAUCGGAUAUUGAAAUCGGAAUGAAAUUCCAUUACGGUGAAUUAAGUCACAAUUAAGCUUAUUGAGGUACUUAGGUGUAUUUGGAAUUUUAGAAGUGAAAUGAAUAUAUUUGAAGUUGAAUCGGAUGUUUUGGUUAAUUUAACAGUGUAUAGUUUGAGUUAGGUCGACUACAAAUUCAGUCCGAUCAUAAUUGAACCCACGUAGAACACCGUCUUUAAGUGAUUAUUCAAACAAUUCUCACUCAAUUUCAUGCAUUCAUAUAGGCCUGAAAUAAUUUUAUAAUAGUUUGGCACGAAUAUAUUGAAUUAUGUGUUGUGUAUUAUGUAUAGGUGGUGAGCCUUCUGAUAAGGGUAAAGAUAUUGUACCCGAGGACCAAGAAUAGGAGUACUCCAAACUCCCGCUAUUGUGAGUAACAGACUUUCAUCUUAACUAUCUAAAGUUGUUUCUACUCGUUUUUAUGUUUUAAAGAAUAAUGAGUUUAAAUGGUAAAUUAUUUUGUUUUAAAAUUGAAUUGUUGGUUAAAUGAAAUGAGUUUUAUAACUUAUUUUGAAAUUGAAUACUGGUUUUGGAAAUUGAGUAAGUGGAGACUAUAUACUCGUGUUUUGAUAUAUGGUUUGAAUUAGUGGCUUAUGACAAUGUGAUGGCAUGAAUGGUUGGAUUUAUUUUUUUUGUGGAAUAUAUAAACUGUUUUGUUUUGUCGUGACACAGGCUGGAUAAUAUUAUAUUAGCCACGUCAUGCUGUUGAAAUGUUUAUUGAUUUGGUGGGUUAUUUGAUUAGCUUACUGUAUUGGGCGGGUUUCCGUGGACCAGCCUAUUAGAGGGGUAAGGUAAACCCCGUUAUAUUUUACCUUAGUAUGAGAGGCGCGGAAGGUAUCUUCUAAGGUAUAUUUAGAGUUCACUUCACACCGAACCACUACGUGAAGGUGAAACUCAGCCAACGCCAAGGAAUGACUACGUUUUUAAACGUAAAACAUGUUUUAUAUGUAUAUAUCGUUGUAACAGCCUUGACGGACUCGAUUAGAUGCUUGGGCCAAGGUGUCUCCGAGUGCGAGUUUUGGCACGAGCCAAGUUUUAAGAGAGUCAUAAGCCUUUCUGAUUUAUUUUGAUGAAAUGUAAUUAUUUUAUAUGAAUUGAAAUGAGUUUUGAAUGUUAUGAAUUAUAUUAUGAUGGGAUAAUUUAACUAUCUCUAUUUACUCGGUUUUAGAUCUUAUAGAAGAACUUUUGCUUAAUCACUGGGUUUAUAAAAACUUACCCCUUCAUUUCACCCAUAUUAGGGUCAAGACAGUUUGUAGACAGCCGAUUUUGUUGAGGAUUGCUUUUGGAUCUGCAUCCUUAGAAAUAGAAGGUCUACAGUCUUGCAUAUUUUCGUUUAUAUCGGGGCCCACAUCUCAUUGUAGAAUAUUUUGUAUACAUGUCUGCGUGUGCCACUGUAUGUAUGAAUUUCUUUUGCUUUUACGCUACAAAAAUUAUUUACGCAGAGUUCUAUAAAUAUUCUUUUUUAAGAAAAUAGAAUAUUUUAUUUAAUAUUUUUAUUUAGUUUGAUUUGCCAUAAUUUCAUUUUAAAUGGAUGAUUUAGAUUACUAAAAUUAUUUUUAGAUAAAAAAUGUAUGUUUUUCGAUCGUAUGCUGUAUUUUUACUAGGUUUCAAAAUUUUCGGGUAAAAAUGACCAAAAUACCCCUGUGUGGCAGAAAUUAUUUUUUUGUUUGUUUUGAUUUAAAAAUAGUUUAUAUUCCCUUAAAACAUGAUAUUUAGUAACUAUUGCUCAUAGGGGAGAUAUAAAACUGAUGCGAGAGCCUUGCGGGGUUUCGGUUGACAUUCUGGGUAAUGAAUGUAUAUCGAGACAUCGCGGCGGAUGUCACGGGCUCAAAGAGAGUACCGGGUCGUGACAAUUAUGCUUAGAAACAUAGCACUACAAAUCAAAGAUAUAAUUAAGUAAUAUCAAGAAUAUCAUGUAUUAUGCUUUGUACCAUAGGAUCCCAAAUCAAGGAUAUUAGGCAUUAUGCUUAGAAUCAUGGCACUACAAAUCAAGGAUAAUUAAAUUGUGGAUAUCAACUACAUAUCGUGAUAUAUAAAGGAUAUCAAGCAAUAUAAUUGGAACUGUAGAACCUCAUAUUAAGAAUAUUAAGCAUUAUACUUGGAAACGUAACACUACAAAUCAAGGAUAUAAUUAAGCAAUAUCAAGGAUAUCAUCUGUUAUGCUUGGAACCGUAGUACCCUAGAUUAAGGAUAUGAAGCAUUAGGCUUGGAAGUGUAGCAUUACAGAUCAAGGAUAUCAAAUAUAAUGAUUUGAACUAUAUCACUAUAGAUCAAUGAUAUCAAGCAUUGUGUUUAGUACCAUAACAUCCUCUAUCAAGGAUAUUAUUUAUUAUACUUGGAGUUGUAGCACUAUAAAUCAAAAAUAUUUAGUAGAUAUCAUGACAUAGUGCUAACUCUAUUAUAUAAAGUUAUCUUGCACUAUUUGGGCAUUAAAAGAGCUAAGUCCAUGUGUGUUUUUAGUUGUGUUUAGGUAAUUUUCAUGUUUUUCAUUAAUAAGUCUCCUGCAUAUUUAAUUAUUUUAGUUUAAGUGAUUUUAAUUUACUUUCAUGUUAAAAACCCCAAUUUGAACCAUCACUAAUUUGGUCUUAUUGUUAUUGAAGGCUUUUAUGUGCAAGAGAGCUCAAUGGAUGAUGAACUGUGCAAAAUGGCUUGAGGUAUCUCUUGAGCAUACUAUAGUAUUUUGAGUGCAACUUGAGCUACAGAAGUCUUACCACCAUAAUUCUUGGACCUCAGGAAAGAUAAGAGGAAGGGCUACAACUUUUGUGUUUAUCACUUUACCAAGUUCUGAUCUAAUUAUGGUACAAAAUGCAUUGGAAUUUGAAGGACUGUUGCAUAUUGCAAUGCAGCAAAUAGAGGGCCUAAUGCCUAGGCACCAGCCACCCAGCACCUAGGUACUGGCCACUCCUCAAACACAGCAAAAAGGGAUAGAGAGCCUAGUGCCUACGCACCAACCACUAUACUUUUAGGCUCCAGCACUAGGAAUUUUAAUUUGCACAUGCUCGAAUUUGGCAUUUGGGGCUUUUUAAAGGAUGAUAUAAAUAGGUCAUUUUAAGUGGGUUUUUGGGGGUUGGAAGCAUAGAAUAUUUUCUGGAAAAGAAAGCUUUCUACGAAAGGAGAAAAGGGGUUUGGUUCCAAAAAGUUGUAGCAAGUCAUUUCUCUCACUAGUUUUCCUUUCUCUCUGUAUUUUGUAUUGUAGAAAUGAGUUAUUUUCUAGAAAUAUUGAAUUUUGCUGUAACUAUUGUUGUCGAUUUUGCACUUGCAAGUAUACGUAUCGAGCAAGUAAUAUAAUGAUGAA
rnacentral:lncRNA from 1 species